rnacentral:rRNA from 1 species
GACGAAGGGGGCUAGCGUUGUUCGGAAUUACUGGGCGUAAAGCGAGUGUAGGCGGUUGCCCAAGUCAGGUGUGAAAGCCUUGAGCUCAACUCAAGAAAUGCACUUGGUACUGGGUGGCUAGAGGACCGGAGAGGAUAGUGGAAUUCCCAGUGUAGUGGUGAAAUACGUAGAGAUUGGGAAGAACACCAGUGGCGAGGGCGGGCUAUCUGGACGGUUACUGACGCUAAGACUCGAAAGCGUGGGGAGCAAACAGGG